AGCGAACGCUGGCGGCAGGCUUAACACAUGCAAGUCGAACGGGCACUUCGGUGCUAGUGGCAGACGGGUGAGUAACGCGUGGGAACGUACCUUUCGGUUCGGAAUAAUUCAGGGAAACUUGGACUAAUACCGGAUACGCCCUUCGGGGGAAAGAUUUAUCGCCGAUAGAUCGGCCCGCGUCUGAUUAGCUAGUCGGUGAGGUAAUGGCUCACCAAGGCGACGAUCAGUAGCUGGUCUGAGAGGAUGAUCAGCCACAUUGGGACUGAGACACGGCCCAAACUCCUACGGGAGGCAGCAGUGGGGGAUAUUGGACAAUGGGCGCAAGCCUGAUCCAGCCAUGCCGCGUGAGUGAUGAAGGCCUUAGGGUUGUAAAGCUCUUUUGUCCGGGAAGAUAAUGACUGUACCGGAAGAAUAAGCCCCGGCUAACUUCGUGCCAGCAGCCGCCGUAACAC
rnacentral:rRNA from 1 species